UACGUGGGGGGCAAGCGUUGUCCGGAUUUAUUGGGCGUAAAGAGCGUGUAGGCGGCCAUACAGGUCAGUUGUGAAAACUGGAGGCUUAACCUCCAGACGUCGAUGGAAACCGUAUGGCUAGAGUCCGGAAGAGGAGAGUGGAAUUCCUGGUGUAGCGGUGAAAUGCGCAGAUAUCGGGAAGAACACCCGUGGCGAAGGCGGCUCGCUGGGACGGUACUGACGCUGAGGCGCGAAAGCGUGGGGAGCGAACAGG
rnacentral:rRNA from 1 species